rnacentral:snoRNA from 1 species
UUUCCCAUUUUUAGUACCGUUCAUUCAUUCAUCCCGGAAUGAACGGCUAUGCUAAUGGGAGAGACAGAACACUGUCGUCUGACGGAGCGGCUGGCUUCGUCCACCCCUCCUAAUAGAACUGACUGAACAAUUCCUA